UACAUCCCAUGAGGCUAGUGUUUCAACAUCCUCACCUGGUGGUGCACCAUCAUCAAGAAGCGAUAGUAGUGAACCAGGCCCAUCUACAUCUCGACAAGCUGGUGCUGCAGGUUCCAGAAGAGGCUGUCGAUCUCAGACAUUUCUGGACCUCCUUGAUGAAAGCGACUUUAGUGAGAGUGAUGAUGACUGGCUACCCGAGGUAGUGACGUCAGCUGGGAGACUGAUUGGUGUUGAAGAAGCUGUCACUUCAUCGGACG